AGCCCGCUCAGAAACUUAAAGGAAUUGACGGGGCCCGCGACAAGCGGUGGAGCAUGUGGUUUAAUUCGAUGAUACGCGAGGAACCUUACCUGGGCUCAAAUGUAUGUUGACGUAUUCUGAAAGGGAUACUUCUUCGGACAAUAUACAAGGUGCUGCAUGGUUGUCGUCAGCUCGUGCCGUGAGGUGUCGGGUUAAGUCCCAUAACGAGCGCAACCCCUAUCAUUAGUUGCCAUCAAGUCAAGCUGGGGACUCUAAUGAAACUGCCUACGCAAGUAGUGAGGAAGGUGGGGAUGACGUCAAAUCAGCACGGCCCUUACGUCCAGGGCUACACACGUGCUACAAUGGCCGGUACAAAGGGCAGCUACCUGGUGACAGGAUGCUAAUCUCAAAAGCCGAUCGUAGUCCGGAUCGCAGUCUGCAACUCGACUGCGUGAAGUCGGAAUCGCUAGUAAUCGUGAAUCAGAAUGUCACGGUGAAUACGUUCCCGGGCCUU
rnacentral:rRNA from 1 species